GUAUCUUGUUGUACGCUGUCCUACUGUCAUAACGUCAUAUACACUCUUUGCUUGCCAAUUGUGAAUACUUUCACGACGAUGAUAUAGUGCGUCUCCGCUGACAUGUGGACACUCUUCCUGGAUAACGAUAUCGUUGUAUGUAUUACCUUGUUAGUACAUGUAUGUCACCAAUAGUGUAAUGUUAUUAAUCAGGGUCGAUCAUGGGGCGAUACAUAGCUUUUAAUCUCCAUUAUUUACCGAUAAUGGGUUAAUACAGGUGCCCUGUUCCUCGUUUAUAUCGGUUUGCUACAUAGCUUAUUAUCGAUGAUGGUGCUACACACGUGGUCUGCGCCUCGUUGUCGAUAAUGGUGUGAUACAACGCUACCGAUAAUGGUGUGAAGCAUAAUCAUUAUCUCCCUUUUUAAUCAAUGAUGGUGUCAUGCACGUGCUCUACCCAACGUUAUCGUUAAUGGUCUAAUACAAUACCCCGCCCCUCGUUUGUUUUUUGUUGACACAUGUGUGGUACUGUAUUAUCUCCCUUAUUUGACGGACUAUCUAUAUAUGUCUUUCAUUGAUUGUCGAUAAGAAAGCUGUAGUACAUUGAAUCGUCAAGAUCAAUUUGUGUGAAACAGUUGUUUUUUUAUCUGUUGAUAGAUGGUACUGUACUGCAUAUCUUAUGGUUCUGUUUGUAGAAAACUUAUCCGUCUCAAUAUUUUUUCCUGAUUUAACUGAGACUGUUUCUGGUAGGAUGUAUUCCAGUUUUUGCGUGUAUAUAGCAUAAGUUUCGCUCACUUGUCUACGUAAAAACAUGUAUAUGACAAUGUGAUCUCAGUGCGUGACGUAGUGUGAUUUCGUUAUGCUUUUAAUCAUUGUUAGAUAAAUGCUUAGUGAACUGUAAAAAAAAUACGUUCGUUAAAUACUUUCGUUGUGUGUAAUAUAUAGAAACAAUGCUCAUAUUCUUGGAUUGUAAAAGCUCUGUUUCAAGUAUAGAAACCACAAAACCAACAGUCGUGUCCAAACUGAAAACAGAAUUUCGAUAUGAUGAUCAAAUUUCGAUUGAAUAAUAUAUGAAAAAUUGAUUUAUAUACAAUUAUUUUGAAGAAAAAUGCACACGAGUUGUAAAUUAUCAACAUCAUAUUCAGUCAUUUUUAACUCAUUUCGCCUUGACGUUGAAAAAAAACCCAAUCAUAUUUGGAAAUCUUGCCUUCGCUAUCUUCCGUUUGAUGACUGUUUCCACUGGGUAUAUUUACAAACAGGAUGUCGUUUAAACUGAUAUCGGUACCCCUGUUGUAAUCGCAGAGAGACGAGUUAUUACAGAACUAUUAAGUUAUUCAUAUUCGUUAGAGUUACUUCCCUUCGCCUGGCAUAAAAGUAUUUGUAUAAUCAGGGAGGAUAGACCUAGGUAAUUUCUUUUUCAACUUUUGUAAUUAUAUUAAAUUACUCAAAUUCCGGGUAAAUGAAUGGUAUACCGCUAAAUGUGUUGUUUAAUAGUUGAAUUAAAAAAAAAAAAAAAAAAAAAUAGAGCCGGCGGUGAAUCUUGACCUUAAAUGGUUCACUGUAAUCAUCCCGAGUCAUUCGGUUUAAACAUUAGCCUAGAGUAGAAUAACCUGUUGACUGGCCUUUUAUCAAUAGUUAGUGUGCCCAGGUGUGUGGAAGAGGCUUGUAUUGAAUGAUUUAUAAGGGAGUGUCGGUAUCGGCGAUGAUAAUAACGGACGUAAAGAGUUAGUACAGUAGAAGGUCCUAAAAUUAGCCUUGACCUGUGUGGACAGUUUAUAGUACUAUUGUGCAAUGUUAUUUUUAGAAUAAAUUGUGUUAAACUAU